GAUGAACGCUGGCGGCGUGCCUAACACAUGCAAGUCGAACGAUGAAGCCCAGCUUGCUGGGUGGAUUAGUGGCGAACGGGUGAGUAACACGUGAGUAACCUGCCCUUAACUCUGGGAUAAGCCUGGGAAACUGGGUCUAAUACCGGAUAGGAGCGCCUACCGCAUGGUGGGUGUUGGAAAGAUUUAUCGGUUUUGGAUGGACUCGCGGCCUAUCAGCUUGUUGGUGAGGUAAUGGCUCACCAAGGCGACGACGGGUAGCCGGCCUGAGAGGGUGACCGGCAAGGAUGGGGAUGUGACGCCGCCGGGGCUCCUGCGGGAGGCAGCAGUGCGGGGUGGUGUACGAUGGCCGGAGGCUUGAAGCCGCGACGCCGGGUGGGGGAUGAGGGCCUGCGGGUUCUAAAACAAGAGCAGCCGGGAAGAAGCGAGACAGACGCCUCGUGAAUAGGUAGCACCCGCUCGCUUCAUC
rnacentral:rRNA from 1 species